UCUUAUGAAAGAGCAAAGAAAGUGGUUUCUUGAGAUAGAAUUUAAUCCUGGUGAAGAUGCUGUGAA
rnacentral:pre_miRNA from 1 species